rnacentral:rRNA from 1 species
ACGGCUCAGUAACACGUGGCUAACCUACCCUCAGGACGGGGACAAACCCGGGAAACUGGGGCUAAUACCAGAUAGGCGAGGACGCCUGGAAUGGUUCUUCACCCAAAGGACUUUGGAAGUAUGCUUUUCCUAGUCGCCUGGGGAUGGGGCCGCGUCCGAUCAGGUUGUUGGUGAGGUAACGGCUCACCAAGCCUAUAACCGGUACGGGCCGUGAAAGCGGUAGCCCGGAGAUGGGCACUGAGACAAGGGCCCAGGCCCUACGGGGCGCAGCAGUCGCGAAAACUCCGCAAUGCACGAAAGUGUGACGGGGCUAUCCCGAGUGCCGUCCGCUGAGGAUGGCUUUUCCUCGGUGUAACUAGCCGGGGGAAUAAGGAGAGGGCAAGUCUGGUGUCAGCCGCCGCGGUAAUACCAGCUCUCCGAGUGGUAGGGAUGAUUAUUGGGCUUAAAGCGUCCGUAGCCGGCUUAGCAAGUCUCCUGUUAAAUUCAGCGACCCAAUCGUUGAGCCGCGGGAGAUACUACUAGGCUAGGAGGCGGGAGAGGUCGACGGUACUUUCGGGGUAGGGGUGAAAUCCUAUAGUCCCGGGAGGACCACCAGUGGCGAAGGCUGUCGACUAGAACGCGCUCGACGGUGAGGGACGAAAGCUGGGGGAGCGAACCGGAUUAGAUACCCGGGUAGUCCCAGUUGUAAACGAUGCGGGCUAGGUGUUGGGGUGGCUACGGGCCACUUCAGUGCCGCAGGAAAGCCAUUAAGCCCGCCGCCUGGGGAGUACGGUCGCAAGGCUGAAACUUAAAGGAAUUGGCGGGGGAGCACCACAAGGCGUGAAGCUUGCGGUUCAAUUGGAUUCAACGCCGGG